rnacentral:rRNA from 1 species
UACCUACGGGGCGCAGCAGUGGGGGAUAUUGCACAAUGGGGGGAACCCUGAUGCAGCGACGCCGCGUGGGUGAAGAAGCGCCUCGGCGCGUAAAGCCCUGUCAGCAGGGAAGAAAAUGACGGUACCUGAAGAAGAAGCCCCGGCUAACUACGUGCCAGCAGCCGCGGUAAUACGUAGGGGGCAAGCGUUAUCCGGAUUUACUGGGUGUAAAGGGGGCGCAGAGGGCGAUGCAAGCCAGGAGUGAAAGCCCGGGGCCCAACCCCGGGACCGCUCUUGGAACUGCGCGGCUGGAGUGCAGGAGGGGG